UGAUAAGAAGAGCAGGGUAAAUAUAUGUUAGUACAUGUAUAUAAGUGUGGGGAGGGGUUUCGUUGCAGGAAAUGCCGAAUUGAAAGGAUUAAACUGGUGAUUGUAAUUACAGUUCACAGUUCACAGUUCAGAGUUCACAGUGCUUGUUCAUCAAGUGGGCUGCAUAUCCUGGCCAUGUUGUUGGGCUCCUUAGGGCAUACAGGACAUUCGUUGGGGCUACAACCGCAUUUCGUGCUCAUUUGCGUGCCCAUUUGCUUGUGUUGUAAUUAACCCAGCUGCUACUACUUGAAGCCCUUCUCGAUAUUGAUUUUCUAUUUCCAUUCCUCACAUGUGCACUGACACAUGCAUGUACAUGGCACUUGGUACAUAAAUACAUAUGUAUUAUGUACAUAUGUAGAUAUGUACAUAUGUGCAUGUGCUUAUGUAUGCACUGCUACGAUUACCACAAUACCACAUUAAAUGCCAUUGUCGACCGCCCACCACAACCACCGCCACCCAUUGCAAUUACAACAAUUACAGCAUGCGGUUGGCGUUUUUCGGGGGGGUUGGUUGGGAGGUUGGGCGGUUGGGAGGUGCAUGCAAAGCGCAGAAACAAACAAUAUUGAUUACAAUUGCUCCAGCCAUAACUAGCUGUUGGCCCAAACUUUCGAAUGCCAGUGUGUUGGCCGUGAUUGAUUGAUUUAUAAUUGGUUUGCAUCCUUGUUACUCCAAAUUGGAUGCUUAGCAUGGGAUAAUGCGUUUCGAUUCCGCACAUUAUACUACUUUACAUGUUCAUAGUAAAAGGAAUGCUAUUCAAAAUGAGUAACUCAUCUUUGUUCGUCGGCUGCUGAAAGUGCUGGGUCAUUGAACCUAUCUGCCUAUCUGCAUUUGUUGGCGCAUUUGAAGGACUAUAGGAUAGACUAUAAGACAAAGUUGCACCAGUUGAACCAUCCAACGCAUCUCUGCAUAACCAAAAAUGAUGUCAAAUUCUUUUCGGUCAGCUUCACACACACUAUGAGUGUGGUUUGCUAUCCAGAAAAUUGGUAUUGAAGCACUUUCGCCAGGGAAGCGUUUCGACAUCGCUCACCCGUGAGACUUUCGAUUCGCCUCGUUAGUCUGCGCACUUGCCAUGCUUCGUAAAGUGAAACAUGUGUUCGAAAAAUCCCAAUAAAAAGUUGCCAUUUACAGUGGGAAAAACAACGAUCCUAGUUGGAACUUGAAAGCAUUUAAGCAUUACGUUCUUGACAGCUGACAAAGUUUUGUUAACACAUUUUUGACGCACUUUGCAUUCAAGAAAAAGUGAAAAUAUAAAUCCGGAAAAAUAAACUGGGUAACCGCCCAUUUGUUCGGCAGCUUUCUUAGUAAUUAUUCGUUGCAGAUGCGGGAAAAAAUGACGCGGCACAGCGAGAUGACAUGCACAUCCAUUGGAAGCGUCACCUGCCACCUGCUAACUGCCACCCGCCACCCGUCACCACCCAUCACCCGCUACGCCCACUGGGCAGCACCUAACCCCCCAAGAAAACCCCAACAACCCCACCAACCCCGCUGUCCAGGCCAACGAUCAACGUUCGCGUGACGCCGAUCCAAUUGAACCCAGUGUUAAUUGCUGUAAGUGGCGGUUUGUAGUCUUUCCCCAGGGUUUCUGUUAUGGUCGUUGAAAUAAUUGGCGUAAAUUUAUGCCGCACUUGAUUGAAAACCGAUUCAUUUUUCAAUAUACAUAUAUAUAUGUACUAGUAUCUACAGUUCCGUAUUCCCAACUCAAUUUGCUCAAAUCAAUUGUGAAUCAAUGCAGUAAUUAAUAAUAGUACUCUUAGAUUUUAGUUUAUAAUAUUGCAUAAACGAAACAAAAAGUGUCAUCAUAUGUACAUAGAUAUGCAUAUUUCUCAGUGUAGUUAGGCGUGAUAACGACCUUUGGCUUGCCGAAAAUAAUUUGCACGAUGCUCCACUUUCGGGUGAAAUCUUUAAUUGUUCGACUGCAAAACAAGGUGUGAAGGACGAAUGAAUCAAUGAAAGUCGAUCAUAUCGAUGAUACAGACACGCUCUCAAUUCUAUGAUGCAAAAUGCUGGAUGUAAUACGAGUAUGAGCACUUGCUUACCGGCAUUUCCCUAGGGAAUUUUCCAGUAUCACUGCUCGCACAUCCCUUACUGAAUUUCAAUUAUUGCUUACGCAUCAAAUAACAUGUCGCCAAUAAUGGCUUAUCAGCAAAAAGUUCUGUGUAUAUAUUCAUAAAGUAAAUAUUCGUCUGAGAUCGUGGCUUUUUGAAUGGCCUAUUGCAGCUCGAAUGAAGCACAAAAAUACGUUUCUAAGUUGUAUUUAUCCUCGAACCUUAUUGGGGAUCAAACCUCAAGAAGAAAUGUAUUUACCAAUGCCCCUACUCGAUUUGGGUGUCCAACAUAAAUACAUAUGUACAUAUGUACAAAAGUCGAUUUUCGUAUUUGCAGUGUGGAAUCACUUGACAUUGAGCUCGGGAAUGCAAAUAAGCCAGCAACAGUGCUCUUUCUUCUUUCAAUAAAUAUGUAUGUAUGUACGUAUGUUCUUGAGCAAGUAGGUAUGUAUUUCGCUGAACUUAAUUGCUAAUACACUGAGCACAAUUCAAAUGGUGCCAUAAAACUAAAAGCUAACUAACUAAUUCCUCAUAAGUAUAUGUUUUGAUACAUCAACUCAAUCAGUCUUAACAUUGUUGCUGAGAUUUUGUUUCACAUAUUUCAACUUUUUGUUACCUUUUUGUGCAGUCGUUUGUUCUGGCUUGUGCAACCUAUAUUUUUCCGUUGCAUUAUUGCCACCUGCAUCACUGAUAAUUUUUUAUCAGCAUUUCCCUAAAAAAAAACCCAACAAUUUGCGUCGCACGCUUUUACCUGAACUUGCUCAGUUAAUUGACGUGCGGUAGAAAAACGUAACUAAACACGACUACACUGAGAACAAGUACAUGGUCACAGGACUCGCAAAUAUGACGAAUGACGAAUUAAAAAUGAUUGUGGCUUAUACUGUACAAAAUGUUUACUGUGACAUUCUGAAUGGUAUUACUUUCUUAUCGCCUCACUAAAUAACUGUGUCAUUAUAAAGUAAUUUGGGUGGAUAUUUUUGUAUAUAACGUAGAUUAACGUAGUCCGAGUUCGAAACCCACUCUGUCUAAAAUUUAAUGCAAAAUCGCUUUGGCUAUAACAUUUUCUUUCUGUGCACCCAGCGCCGUGCACUUGUAUCCGCUGUUUGCGCUGGACAGACGUGUCCGGAGUGCCAAGACAUUAACAGUUCUUUGGUCGCCGUUAGGCGGAAAAGCUUAUCAGCCCCAUCCAUUUUCAUUUUUUCAUUUAUAUUUUUUUUGUUUGUUUGUUUGUUUCUUGGGGCAAAAACGGGGGCAAGCCGCAGCUUUUUAUUCAGAGAAGCGAACAGCAGGGCAGCCAGAUGAUCAUGAUGAUGAUGAUCUGGUGCUAAUGAUGAUCUGGUGCUAAUGAUGUUCCCAUGGCCAAGAGAAACAUUGACAAAUGAUGCAUUUGUCGAAUUGCGCAGAUCUGGCGGAUCCACAAUGGGUUGCAGUUGUUCGUUGGCAUUGGUGGGAAGUACAUACAUAUUACUAACUCCAUGAAUAGGAGAAAAGAUCUGCAACUUGAACUUAGAUUUCAAAUGGAAUCAGCAACUAAGCAUUGGGAACCUGUUUGCGAAGCUCAGUGUUGUUAUCUGGCUAUAAAGCAGACCACGUCGGCUUAGUCAAGCAUUUUGAGCAGCACCGACCGAAAGAUAACCUUUUUGUCAUCUGAGGUUUCGUAGUUUCCCUUUGUUAGUUUCUAAGCUUCUAAGAAAACGCUUCGACAGUACGAAAUAGUCAUCAAAGUUGCUGACCUGACACUUUUGACACCCCACAUUUGAGUAAACAAAGGAAGAUAAGUGCUAGAUAACUGAGUUUGGAAAGCACAUGUUUCGAAUGCGAAUGAAAACACGAAUUGAGUUGGUGGGGAUGAAAAAUGCAUUGUGUACGAAAAGUAGAAAAGUUUUCUCGUUUCCGAUGACGCACUAUCCAUGAGUUAGUUAGUUAAGUGCAUAAGCCAGGUUAAUGCAAUUUAGAAACUUUCACUGCUGCUCAAACCGGAAAAGCGGCGGUUACAAUUGACAAUUUGAUAAUUUAAAACGGGAGGAGGAGUGAUAAUCGAAGCGGACAGAAUGGCUUCUGUUCACUGCCUCCCAGAGAUUGGAGCACUGAGCUAACGCCCUUGAUAAGCGAUGGUGCCAGUAGCGGACUGACGCCAGUUGCAAGUCCAAGCCUCUUAGUGGGUUGCGAAUUGCAAGUCAAAAUCCUGAUAGUGAUAGGACGUUGGGAAAUGUGCUAUUCCCAGUUGGAAACCAGAACGCAACUAGAAACGUAAGAAACCAGAACGCAACCAGAAACGUAAGAAACCACAACGCAACCAGAAACGUAAGAAACCACAACGCAACCAGAAACAAGUGUAUGGCAGAUCAAGGCGGAUGUUUCGCAAAGAGAACAAACUUGUAAACAGAAAAUGAAGCAAAUAAUUGUAAAUAAAUUAGUUUGUAAAUACAAUACUAUAAACAAUGAAA